rnacentral:pre_miRNA from 1 species
AGUGGGAUAGCUGAGUCAAAUGGCAGUUCCAUUCCUAGUUUUUUGAGGAAUAUCCAUACUGAUUUUCAGGGUGGUUGCACCAAUUUGCAAUCCCACCAGCAAU